CCUACGGGUGGCAGCAGUGAGGAAUAUUGGUCAAUGGACGAGAGUCUGAACCAGCCAAGUAGCGUGAAGGAUGACUGUACAAAGGGUUGUAAACUUCUUUUAUAAGGGAAUAAAACGAGGCACGUGUGCCUUUUUGCAUGUACUUUAAGAAUAAGGAUCGGCUAACUCCGUGCCAGCAGCCGCGGUAAUACGGAGGAUCCGAGCGUUAUCCGGAUUUAUUGGGUUUAAAGGGAGCGUAGGUGGGUUGUUAAGUCAGUUGUGAAAGUUUGCGGCUCAACCAUAAAAUUGCAAUUGAUACUGGCAGUCUUGAGUACAGUUGAGGUAGGCGGAAUUCGUGGUGUAGCGGUGAAAUGCUUAGAUAUCGCGAAGAACCCCGAUUGCGAAGGCAGCAUACUAGACUGUGACUGACACUGAUGCUCGAAAGUGUGGGUAUCAAACAGGAUUAGAUACCCGAGUAGUC
rnacentral:rRNA from 1 species